GGGGAUAUAAUGGUUUCGACAGGCUUCGGGCUAAUGUAAUGGCAGUAGUGUGGUAGACUAUAAAUACCACUAGGCUUUUCUAAACGGAAAACAACAAAAAUCAGUUUCAUCAAACUUAUACAUGAUGAACAACUUUUCAAACCUAGCUUUUGUUUAAUAUAACAAUCUAGUGGAUUAAUUGAUUUUCCUAGAUUAAUUAAUUCGGUAUUUUAGGAUAGUUUAAGUGUUGACAAACUUAAAUGAAAUGAGUCAAACAUUGAUUUGUUUUUUGUUUAUUUUAGAUAAUUAGUGUUAACAAAAAUAAACUAAACUGUAGAAGUUGCAUUAAUCUCGUUGCGUGGACAGGGGUUCGAUUCCCCUUAUCUCCACCA
rnacentral:tmRNA from 1 species